rnacentral:rRNA from 1 species
GAUGAACGCUGGCGGCGUGCCUAAUACAUGCAAGUCGAGCGAACGGACGAGAAGCUUGCUUCUCUGAUGUUAGCGGCGGACGGGUGAGUAACACGUGGAUAACCUACCUAUAAGACAGGGAUAACUUCGGGAAACCGGAGCUAAUACCGGAUGAUAUUUUGAACCGCAUGGUUCAAAAGUGAAAGACGGUCUGGAUGUCCCUUAUAGAUGGAUCCGCGCUGCAUUAGCUAGUUGGUAAGGUAACGGCUUAGCAAGGCAACGAUGCAUAGCCGACCUGAGAGGGUGAUCGGCCACACUGGAACUGAGACACGGUCCAGACUCCUACGGGAGGCAGCAGUAGGGAAUCUUCCGCAAUGGGCGAAAGCCUGCCGGAGCAACGCCGCGUGAGUGAUGAAGGUCUUCGGAUCGUAAAACGCUGUUAUUAGGGAAGAACAUAUGUGUAAGUAACUGUGCACAUCGUGACGGUACCUAAUCAGAAAGCCACGGCUAACUACGUG